UGUACAUGUUUCUUUGCUGUUUAUGUCAGUCUGGAUUGUUCAAAAUUUAUGUUUGAUAUUAUCCCAUCAUUUUAAAAAACUAACAGGAUACCCCCCAAAAAAGAGGGAGAAAAAAGUAACCCAUAGUAAAGAGCAAGGCAAUCAACAGACUCAGCCCCAGAGAUGCCCCACAUGUUGAGAUUAUAGAGACAGUUACUGACAGGAAGUAUUCCUUUGAUGGCCUUAUCAGUAGUCUUAACAAAGAUGAGGAUGCUAGCAGUGAAUGUAAAGAUGAGUCAAGGAGAAUUAUCCUACUCAAACAAAAGAAAAGGAGUGAAGAAAAAUAGUAUGAAUACCCAAGAGAUGCAGAAUAAUAUCAGAUGUUCUCACGGAAAGAUAUUUGGAAAAUCUCUCAAUAUAUUGAAAUAAACCCAUAAACUUCUACAAAUAACUCAUAGGAUAGACAGGAAGUCACAAAGGAAAUUAAGUAUUUUUAAUGGCAUGUAGGUAGAAACACAAGAAUGUCAAAAUAAGUGGGAUGCAUUAAAGUAGGGCUUGAAGGAAAAUUGGUACCUUUAAAUACUUGUAUUAGAAAAUAACAGAGGGUCUAAAAUCAAUGAACCCAUUUUUCCCCUUAAGAAACUAGAAAAGAAUAAUCAACACAAAGUAAACAAAAGAAGAAAAUAAUAAAGGAAAGAUCAAAUAAUUGAUGAAAUUAAAAGCAGAAACACAAGAAAAAUCAAUGAAACCAAAAGCUAGUUCUUUGUUAAGAUCAAUGUUCUUUAUCAGUGAGCCAAAGAAAAGAAGAGAGAAGGAACAAAUGUUCAAUACCUGAAAUGAUUGAGGGAACAUUGGUAUAGGUACUACAGAUAUUAAAAGUCUAAUAAGG
rnacentral:lncRNA from 1 species